UACGUAGGGUGCAAGCGUUGUCCGGAAUUAUUGGGCGUAAAGAGCUCGUAGGCGGUUUGUCACGUCUGCUGUGAAAAUCCAAGGCUCAACCUUGGACUUGCAGUGGGUACGGGCAGGCUAGAGUGCGGUAGGGGAGAUGGGAAUUCCUGGUGUAGCGGCGGAAUGCGCAGAUAUCAGGAGGAACACCAAUGGCGAAGGCACAUCUCUGGGCCGUAACUGACGCUGAGGAGCGAAAGCGUGGGGAGCGAACAGGAUUAGAUACCCUGGUAGUCCACGCCGUAAACGGUGGGUGCUAGCUGUGGACCACAUUCCACGUGGUCCGUGACGAAGUUAACACAUUAAGCACCCCGCCUGGGGAGUACGGCCGCAAGGCUAAAACUCAAAGGAAUUGACGGGGGCCCGCACAAGCGGCGGAGCAUGCGGAUUAAUUCGAUGCAACGCGAAGAACCUUACCAAGGCUUGACAUAUAGAGGAAAAGUGCAGAAAUGCACUCCCCGCAAGGUCUCUAUACAGGUGGUGCAUGGUUGUCGUCAGCUCGUGUCGUGAGAUGUUGGGUUAAGUCCCGCAACGAGCGCAACCCUCGUCCUAUGUUGCCAGCACGUAAUGGUGGGAACUCAUGGGAUACUGCCGGGGUCAACUCGGAGGAAGGUGGGGAUGACGUCAAAUCAUCAUGCCCCUUAUGUCUUGGGCUUCACGCAUGCUACAAUGGCCGGUACAGAGGGCUGCAAUACCGCAAGGUGGAGCGAAUCCCAAAAAGCCGGUCUCAGUUCGGAUUGAAGUCUGCAACUCGACCUCAUGAAGUCGGAGUCGCUAGUAAUCGUAGAUCAGCAACGCUACGGUGAAUACGUUCCCGGGCCU
rnacentral:rRNA from 1 species